rnacentral:rRNA from 1 species
AGUGAACGCUGGCGGUAGGCCUAACACAUGCAAGUCGAACGGCAGCACAGUAAGAGCUUGCUCUUACGGGUGGCGAGUGGCGGACGGGUGAGGAAUACAUCGGAAUCUACUUUUUCGUGGGGGAAUAACGUAGGGAAACUUACGCUAAUACCGCAUACGACCUACGGGUGAAAGCAGGGGAUCUUCGGACCUUGCGCGAUUGAAUGAGCCGAUGUCGGAUUAGCUAGUUGGCGGGGUAAAGGCCCACCAAGGCGACGAUCCGUAGCUGGUCUGAGAGGAUGAUCAGCCACACUGGAACUGAGACACGGUCCAGACUCCUACGGGAGGCAGCAGUGGGGAAUAUUGGACAAUGGGCGCAAGCCUGAUCCAGCCAUACCGCGUGGGUGAAGAAGGCCUUCGGGUUGUAAAGCCCUUUUGUUGGGAAAGAAAAGCAGCAGGUUAAUACCCCGCUGUUCUGACGGUACCCAAAGAAUAAGCACCGGCUAACUUCGUG